rnacentral:lncRNA from 1 species
CUGUAUUUUCAAUUAGAGUCAAAGCCCAAGGAUGUCUCUACCAUCUUGUAGCCCUUGCCAAUAGCCUACUCUUGUCUUCCAGGGUUCCUCCAAAUCUCUCUCCAAAUAUUUGUUAUCUACUCAUUCAAUACCCUUCUUCAACCAUCCUCUUGCUUUGGAAUUGACAUGAACCAACUAGGCCCGCCUUAUUGGGGUAGGAAUUCAUUUGCCCUGCCUGCCAGCCCCCAUAGAGACAGAACCAUUGCCUAGUGAAAGAAGAUUUUAAUGACGUGAUGAAAAUAUUUUAGAAAGCACCUUGAAGAAUAGUAUCUUUAUGUAACCUCUGUUGGAGAGAUGUCUUCAGGAGACUGAAGUAGAAGAGCGACUGUCAAAAUGGAAAUCCCAGAGACAUCCAAUUUAUGUAAAUCAACAUCACCUGAAUUCAGAAUCUCAUCCAGAUUUCAACAAAGACUUCUGAAUGCCAACAAAGAAGAGGACUGAAUUUACAGAGUCUCACUCUAACAAUAUAUGCUGUUCAAUUUGAAAACAGAAUAAAAUUAUUUUGGCA